UAAAUGUUGGUGACUCUAAAGGUACGUAUGAGAGGAAGGUAGAUGAAAUGAGCUUUGAAGGGUCAUUAAAUUAGGAGUUGUCCAUGUGCAGGAUGAGUUUGAGGAACUGGUGCUAAGGAUGGAGUACUAGAACAUGAGUGAUUUGAUGCACCAGCUUGGAGGCAAAGAAUGGAGGGAGGAGGUAGGAAGUGCAUUAGAGAAUGAAGAGUGGAAAGGAAAAGAUAGGGAAGAGAAAGUAGGCUAGGUUUUUUAUGGGUAAAAGAGAAAUUUAAAGAUUUAGGGAGAUGUAGGAAGGAAAAAAAGAGAUGCAAGAAGAAAAACCCAAUCCACAUUCAUCUUGGUUUUCACCUGUGAUUACUCAAGAAAUUCAUUGGGCGCCUAGUUACAUGUUAUCACAUCCCCACCACAAAAUGCCCUUAGUUGCCCCAUUGCAAUUUAGACUCUCGCAUUAUCAUUUGACCAUUGCAGCUAAUUCCCUGAGCUUUUAUUCAAUUGAAUUAUUUAGAUUCUUCAACUGCUAACUUAGAGGAUCUUACGGAAAAUAAAUAAAACUUUUCUUAGUUCAACCUUAAGGGCAAGGUUGCUUCCAGUGGAAGGAAUAUUGUAACACACAAAAUAAUGUUGAGUUGAAGACAUAAGGUUGAAAAAAUAAGAUUGAUUUAUUAUUCUCAAUCAUAAAAAAUACAUUAUCAUACCCUUUAUUUGUAAUAAUCUAUUCUCCUAAAAAGGGAAAUAGGAAAUCUAGGAAAAUAAAAUAAAAUAAAAGAUUAUGUAUCUAUUUCCUCUAAUUAGGAAUAUUCUAAAGAUAUUAUCUCAAAUUAGAACACUCUCCCUCAAGCUAGAUCAUACAAGUCAUAUGAACAGAGCUUGGAAUAGUCAAGCUCAAUUGUAGAGAACGUUGUUAAGUCUCUGGCAAGUGUACCAGAUCGUUAUCAAGUAAUAUAAAACGGGUAAGUUCGAGUAUCGUUUUCCCAAAGGACUCUUAGGCCUUAACUUUCAUGUAAAUAGAUCGCAUAAGACUUGAGAAAGAAAUUGGUUUUAGGUUUUGUAUGCAAAGAACGAAAAUAAACAUGCACAAUGCAAUUGAAUCAGUUGGCAAGGAAAAACUAUGGAUGAAUGAAGUUGUUGGGGUUUACAAUUUCAUCUUAUCCACCCUCUUAUAUCUACUCUUCUUAUUUAAUUUGCUUUAUUAUCAUAUUGUCAUGCAAACUUUCUUAGUCUACCAUAAACCCAAUCUCUUGACGAAAAGAGCCUAUUACUAAUUACUGACUUACUAUCUCUAGUCUCCCCUAGUAACUAGCAAUGCAUGAUAAACGGAAGCAAAAUACAAUUGAUUGUCCUACCCUUAUCUUUAGGCAGUAUUAGCUUAAUCAAGGAAUUCCCCCCAGUUCAUGACAUUAUGUACGUCUCUCUAUCAAUAAAGACAAACAACAUUUACCGAAUGAGUUAAAUGAUAAAAGCAUUAAGCAAAGGUAAAGAACCCAACAAUUGAUAAUAUAAGCAUAUGCAAGCAUAUAAAGAAAAUAAGAAUUUUGAUAUAAGUUUCAAAAGAUUACAUUGUUCCCCAACAACAAAGGGUUUAGUUCACCAUUGACAUGGUGAAACUAGAUUGAAUAAAAUGAAAGAAUGGAAGAAUAAACCCUAAAUUUGGUAGAUUGGAACUAAGGUGUGUAGAACAGCUCUAGACGUCUCUGCCUGCCAAAAGAUUACUUUGGAAAUCGCACUGGGUCUCCAUGAGUAACAUAUGAGAGGUCUUUAAAGGCUAAC
rnacentral:lncRNA from 1 species